UUGGGUAAAAUGGUGGGUCAAACGUCCAUUUUACGGCCGUAUUGUUGGGUCUUUAGUCGAUUGUCGGGUCCCAAAGUCGAUUAUCGGGCACUUGGACCCGACAGUUGAAGACCCACUUAAAAAAAGGCUGCUUAACAUACUCAUGACUAUUUUUAAAUUCAAAUUUGCAUGUGUAAUUUUACUCGAAUUGUCGGGCCUAUAUCUCCCAUUAGCACACAUUAGGUCAAACUCCACACAGCAGUUACUUCCCUUGGGCAUUCGCCAAUCAUUAAUGUCUUUUUCUAGAAUAAGGGAGGCCACUGCGUAUGAGAUUGACCAACCUCGGCGCAGUGAUUUACCGGGAACCAGCAUAGCAACGAACGACAACUCGGCGCCCGACAACUCUGUAAUAAAAAUUGCCAAUUUUCGCGGUUAAACUUAAAAAGAGUCCAUGUCAACUGCUGACAGUGAAGAGCCAGGCAGUCUGACCCAUGAUAGGAGGGAGCCAUGAAGAGCCAGCCAGUCUGACCCAUGAUAGGAGGGAGCCAAGUGAAGAGCCAGCCAGUCUGACCCAUGAUUCUUGACAUGACUCAUGGUGAACUAAAAUUGCUUGCAAAGCAUCUGGGACAUGAUGUGAAGACCCACAAGGAAUAUUAUCAGUUGUCUUCCAGUACCAUGGAACUCUCAAAGGU